ensembl:lncRNA
AACGUGUAACGAAUCCUCUGACAGAGCAUUCUCCGAACACAACAGGAUAUGAUGUUACAGUGUGUCCAAAGCUCUUAUUACUCUUUGUGCACAGGAUUAAGAUCCACACAAUGACUACAUAAAAGCACGGAUGAGACGAGUUGGUGAAGGCAAAAGUACUCAGGUUACACAUUACACACAUGAUUAGGCUUCAGGCACACUCUGGGUAACUACAAUAAUUCACUACAAUAACACCAACUGAAUUAUGAAGCUUUCCGAAGGUUUUAAGGUGUUUCAGAUGGUUCCCAGGGUGUAGCUACGUAUGCAGUUCUGAGUGCUUUAUAAGGCAAUAAUUGAUGGUUGCUUACUGGUCCAAGUCUGUAUAAUAUGUUUGUUUCUCCUUCAAGGUAAAUCUAUUGGAUUUCUUCCCAAGUUUUAUCAUACGCCAAACAUAUAUUGUAAAUUUCAUGACUUGAGCACAGUUUUUGUCAACAAGUAGCAUGAUGUAUCUGUUGCAUAAAUGGUGCACACCAAAGUUUAUUAUGUCAGAUUAGGGGUUGGUUUAAAUUUCUACCUUUAACCUUGGGAGUGAGAAACGCAGAGUAACAGAGAGCAGCAAUGCUUGGCAUCCAGCAGACAAAAGGGUGGGACUGGCAGGAAAAGCAAUGAUGAGUAAAGCUCAAGUUCUCCUUUAUGAGCCCCUCGUCUAACAACCGCAUUUGAUUACAGUAAGGCUCAGAGUUGAGGAACUUUUUUCAGGAUUACUGCCAGUUUCCUCCAGCACACACACACACACACACACACAGAGUGGGCUGAGACUAUAAUGAGAGCGGUAUGAAGGGAUGAUGUUGAAGACUGGCCGAGCCAGUCAGGGAUAAACAGUGGGGAGUUUCCUUCAGAUUCUACGAUCUGCUCUUCUGGUUUGUCUCUGUUCGGCAGUUUGUUCUGCUUUGAUCCUGGAGAAGCUAAAAGAGGCUAUAAAAAGCCUAAUAACCUCGCUGGACCCCACAACUAUCCUCCUGGCAUGGAUCGCUGGACAUUUCAGAAGAGCAAGGAAUAUUAGGACUGGAGAAUUACAGUCCUUCUUUGGAGUUUGUGAGGCUUAUGGAUUCCACCUCACGCCAGACUGCACUUUAUUUUGCAAGAAUUUGAUGCGGUCUGUUUGCCCCAUCCUUGUUUCAUGUGGCAGCAACCCUUUACACUUCCUUCCCCACAUACUGUAAAGCAAAUUACUUAAUUUAGUGAUAUGAGAAACAUCAGACAGAGACAAAAGCCAAAUGGAGGACGUCAUAGGAAAUGGGUUUUAAUAAAACAUCCUUCAAAGGCA